rnacentral:rRNA from 1 species
UACAGAGGGUGCGAGCGUUGUCCGGAAUCACUGGGCGUAAAGGGCGUGUAGGCGGGAAUGUAAGUCGGGCGUGAAAUCCCUAGGCUCAACCUAGGAACUGCACUCGAAACUGCGUUUCUUGAGUAUCGGAGAGGAAAGCGGAAUACCUGGUGUAGAGGUGAAAUUCGUAGAUAUCAGGUGGAACACCAGUGGCGAAGGCGGCUUUCUGGACGAUAACUGACGCUGAGACGCGAAAGCGUGGGGAGCAAACAGG